rnacentral:rRNA from 1 species
CCUUAGAGUUUGAUCCUGGCUCAGGAUGACCUUUGGCGGCGUGCUUAACACAUGCAAGUCGAACGGAGUACCCUUGAAGGAGUUUUCGGACAACUGAAAGGACUACUUAGUGGCGGACGGGUGAGUAACGCGUGAGUAACCUGCCUUGGAGUGGGGAAUAACAGCUGGAAACAGCUGCUAAUACCGCAUGAUGCAGUUGAGUCGCAUGGCUCUGACUGCCAAAGAUUUAUCGCUCUGAGAUGGACUCGCGUCUGAUUAGCUAGUUGGUGGGGCAACGGCCCACCAAGGCGACGAUCAGUAGCCGGACUGAGAGGUUGGCCGGCCACAUUGGGACUGAGACACGGCCCAGACUCCUACGGGAGGCAGCAGUGGGGAAUAUUGGGCAAUGGGCGCAAGCCUGACCCAGCAACGCCGCGUGAAGGAAGAAGGCUUUCGGGUUGUAAACUUCUUUUCUCAGGGACGAAGCAAGUGACGGUACCUGAGGAAUAAGCCACGGCUAACUACGUGCCAGCAGCCGCGGUAAUACGUAGGUGGCAAGCGUUAUCCGGAUUUACUGGGUGUAAAGGGCGUGUAGGCGGGGACGCAAGUCAGAUGUGAAAACCACGGGCUCAACCUGUGGCCUGCAUUUGAAACUGUGUUUCUUGAGUACUGGAGAGGCAGACGGAAUUCCUAGUGUAGCGGUGAAAUGCGUAGAUAUUAGGAGGAACACCAGUGGCGAAGGCGGUCUGCUGGACAGCAACUGACGCUGAGGCGCGAAGGCGUGGGGAGCAAACAGGAUUAGAUACCCUGGUAGUCCACGCUGUAAACGAUGGAUACUAGGUGUGGGGGGACUGACCCCCUCCGUGCCGCAGUUAACACAAUAAGUAUCCCACCUGGGGAGUACGAUCGCAAGGUUGAAACUCAAAGGAAUUGACGGGGGCCCGCACAAGCGGUGGAGUACGUGGUUUAAUUCGAAGCAACGCGAAGAACCUUACCAGGGCUUGACAUCCUGCUGACCGGCAUAGAGAUAUGCUUUUCUCUUCGGAGACAGCGGUGACAGGUGGUGCAUGGUUGUCGUCAGCUUGUGUCGUGAGAUGUUGGGUGUAAGUCCCGCAACGAGCGCAACCCUUAUUGUUAGUUGUUAUGCAAGAGCACUCUAGCGAGACUCCCGUCGACAAAACGGAGGAAGGUGGGGACGUCGUCAAAUCAUCAUUCCCCUUAUGUCAGUGGGCCACACACGUACUACAAUGGUGGUUAACAGAGGGAAGCAAUCCCGCGAGGUGGAGCAAAUCCGUAAAAGCCAUCCCAGUUCGGAU